GACAUCCCGAGAAUACCCCUGGAAACAGGGAGUGCCUUUCGGGAACUCGGAGACAGGUGCUGCAUGGCUGUCGUCAGCUCGUGUCGUGAGAUGUUGGGUUAAGUCCCGCAACGAGCGCAACCCUUGUCUUUAAUUGCCAGCAUUCAGUUGGGCACUUUAAAGAGACUGCCGGUGUUAAGCCGGAGGAAGGUGGGGAUGACGUCAAGUCCUCAUGGCCUUUAUGCCCAGGGCUACACACGUGCUACAAUGGGUGGUACAAAGAGAUGCCAACUCGCGAGAGCGCGCCAAUCUCAGAAAGCCAUCCUCAGUUCGGAUUGGAGUCUGCAACUCGACUCCAUGAAGUUGGAAUCGCUAGUAAUCGCGGAUCAGCACGCCGCGGUGAAUACGUUCCCGGGCCUU
rnacentral:rRNA from 1 species